rnacentral:lncRNA from 1 species
UCUCUCUCUCUCUCUCUCAAAAAAAAGAAAAAAGAAAAAGAAAAAGGUAAUGGGAGGAGGCUGGGGUGCCGUGGCUCAUGCCCGCAAUCCCAGCGACUCUGGAGGCUGAGACAGGAGGAUCGCAAGUUCAAACCCUCAGGAACUUAGAGAGGCCCUAAGCAACUCAGCAAGACCCUGUCUCAAAAUUUAAAAUAAAAAAGGGUUGGGAAUGUGUGGCUCCAUGGUUAAGCACCACUGGAUUCUAUCCCUGGUAUAAGAAGAAGGAGGAGAAGGAGAAGGAGAAGGACUACUGAGUGGAGGCACUGGUUCAUAGAGAUCUGGGGACCUUAUCAGUCAGCCAUGUUGGGAGCAUUGGAUCUCCUCAGGAAGGAAGGAAGAGGUCUGUGAUCAGGGGAAUGGCAUGAGUGCACUCAGAAGUAGGACUGAACCCAUCACCCCACCUGAGGACUCUUGGUAAGUGGAAAGGAUGUGGAAGGCAGAAGAGGAGGCCCCUGGGAUCUCCCACACUGGCCUCCCUCGGUCUCUUUCCAGAUGUCCUCGAGCCUCUGGAGAAAUACUUAAAUUUCCUUCAAGGAAAGCAUGGGAACAUGCAUCCUGAAAUUAAGGUGACUUCCUAUGGUUUUGCAAAUUGGUUACAGACUUUUAGUGGUUUUGUUUGAAAAGAAAAUUAUUGUAGAUGUCGAGACUAAAUGCAAUUUGUUCAGUGCUGAGUGCAGAGAAAGAAAGGAAAGUAUUGCCCUGAGAUCACCCACUCCUGUGUUAAGGAAGAGGCAGCAGAGUAGGGAGGGGAGGGACCUGCCAGAGGAGCGCACAGCCACAGCCGCAGUGACCAUCUCCAGGGGCAGAUGGCAGAUGGCUUUUAAGCCUCCAAUAGGACAGAGGAUAUUUGGUGGGCAGUUCUCCCAGCAGGAUGGAGGAGAGGCGAUGGGAGUCCCUCCAGUUUCUGGUCUCUGCUUGCACACCUUGCCUGAGAGAGAGAGCUCAUGCUUACCUGGCUGCCUAUGUGAACUAGCCCAGCUGCAGCUCUGGGAAGCCCACCCUGAGUGAGGCAUCAUUUCCCUCAAGCUCCCUGCCACAGUUCUCUGCAUCCUAACCUAUAUGCACUCCCAAUCCCAAGUUUUUGUCUUCACAUUCUCUAUCUGAACUGAGGCUGGGGUCAGGGCAGAGGUCUGGGUUUCUGCAUCCCACAUGGUUCUGAUACCAAUGGGAUCUGUCCUGGGUAGACCGUGCCUAUAAUUCUGUCUAUAAUGGCUGGGGUGGGGAUUAUAGGUCAGAGUGUCCCCACCUGGUGUGAGCUGGAAGGGUACAUGGUCUGCUUCCUGGAUGCCUAGCCUGUUACCCUGCAUGUCUUUCCUGGCCUGACUAAGCUGAGGAUGGACACAAGCCCAUGGGUAGAGGCAGGCCCAGAUAGUCGGCUUCAUGCACAUCAACAGACAAGUGGGGCAUUCCCAUGAGUUCCUUGCUCAGCAUGCAUCUAUUUGGCCCCUGUGAUGCAUACUGGGCCCUCAGAACUGAAUUAGAUGCAGAUACAACCUCUGCCCUCUGUAGCUGGAGGUCUGGACAAGUAUGUGGGAGACAGCAGGGGACAAUAAAAAAACAAAAAAAAAC